rnacentral:rRNA from 1 species
UACAGAGGGUGCAAGCGUUGUUCGGAAUUAUUGGGCGUAAAGGGCGCGUAGGCGGUUCGGCAAGUCUCUAGUGAAAUCUCUGGGCUCAACUCAGAGUCUGCUGGGGAAACUGCCGGGCUUGAGUGUGGGAGAGGAGAGUGGAAUUCCCGGUGUAGCGGUGAAAUGCGUAGAUAUCGGGGAGGAACACCUGUGGCGAAAGCGGCUCUCUGGACCACAACUGGACGCUGAGGCG